GUAGGUGGCAAGCGUUGUCCGGAAUUAUUGGGCGUAAAGCGCGCGCAGGCGGUUCUUUAAGUCUGAUGUGAAAGCCCACGGCUCAACCGUGGAGGGUCAUUGGAAACUGGAGAACUUGAGUACAGAAGAGGAAAGCGGAAUUCCACGUGUAGCGGUGAAAUGCGUAGAGAUGUGGAGGAACACCAGUGGCGAAGGCGGCUUUCUGGUCUGUAACUGACGCUGAGGCGCGAAAGCGUGGGGAGCAAACAGGAUUAGAUACCCUGGUAGUCCACGCCGUAAACGAUGAGUGCUAAGUGUUAGGGGGGUUUUCCGCCCCCCCCCGUAGUGCUGCAGCUAACGCAUUAAGCACUCCGCCUGGGAGUACGGCCGCAAGGCUG
rnacentral:rRNA from 1 species